rnacentral:rRNA from 1 species
AUGGCCAACGGCGCCGCCAACCCCGAGAUGGAGAAGAAGUUCCCGGCCGACGUCGAGGCUCCUAAGGCCACCGAGACGGCAGUGGACACAUACCAGAAGAAGACGGAGGCGCUCUCGCUAUCGGCGCCGGAGGACGACGGCGGCGGCGUCCUGCCACUCGACCUGCUCCACGACAUCCUACUGCGCCUUCCUGCCAAGUCGGUCUGCCGCUUCCGGGCCGUUUGCACCGCAUGGCACUCCCUGCUCUGCCACCUGGAUUUCAUCGCAGCCGCUCAACCUGGCCCGCGCAUCGCAGUCGGCCUGUGCUAUGACGGCUCUGGCGAUGUCGUCGUCAGCGUCUUGGACAUGGAUUCUGGCCGCGUCCUCAAGCGGGUGAGCAUUGACGUCACAAGCCGCCACGACACGACGCCACCGCACGAGACGCCCGACGUGAGUCCUGAACGAGCAGUCUGUGUCGUGGGCAACGACGGGCGGCUCCACCUGAUCGACCCUGCCACUGGCGCAGUCAAACUCUUGCCUGACCCGCCGGCAUCAAACCACAUGUCUACUUUGUGCACGCUUGGGUGCGCCGCCUUGACGGGAGAGUACAAGGUGCUCGCCAUCGCGAACGCAGCUAAGCAUGCGUGGCAGCAGAUAUGCCAGAUCAUCACCCUCAACGAUAAUGGCGGGGAGCAGCGCUGGAGGGAGACGGGGACCCCAGGGUACAGUUUGCUAGCGCCACUACCGCCAUGGACUUACAGCAGGGAAGUCGCUGUGGUCGAGGGGGUGGCCUACUUCCUGGUCAAGCCGGACCACACGCUCGACGUGCAGCAUGCCUGGAUCAUGGCGUUUGACCUUGGAGACAAGGUGUGGCAGCCGGAUGCGCUCCAAGGCCCGGAGUGCAAGCACAAUGUCGCCUUAGCCACACUUGAAGGCAAACUCGUUGUGUGCCAUGACAACCGCCAAACCUUCAUGGAGCUAUGGUUUCUUGUGGACCCUGACCAGGCUGACUGGUGUAUGCGGCACAAGAUUGUCAUGCCCUCUCUUAAGCUCUCGUCACCGGUGCCGACUUCUGGCAUGUAUUUCGGGAAGCCAUUAGCGGGGCUAGACGACCGAAUGAUUGUCAUGUGGAUGCGGGUGACACCAACAGGCUGCAGCAUCCCGCUGGACACGGUGCUGCGGUAUUACGACCCAAAAACCAGGGCUUUCACAGAUGGAAUGCAGGUAGCAAAGUGCAGCCAUGUUACUGUGCACACGUGGAGCAUAUUGUAUUCAGGAAGAGGAGGGAUCAGGAGAGCUGCAUUAGAGAGCUAG